rfam:Schistosoma mansoni strain Puerto Rico chromosome 4, complete genome
AUCAACUCUGACGAGUCCAAAAUAGGAUGAAACGCGCGUCCUUGAU